UGUUGCAAAGCAAAUAGAAAAAACAGCGCGCAACUUCAACUUGUUACGGCGCACAGCGCGCUCGUGUGUGUGUGCAUUUGUGUGUUGCAAGGAACGCAAGAGUCCUGCGAGAGCGAAUGCGCGCCAGUGCGCAUGCCCAACACUUGACGGAGACGUGAUGGCGCUGACUGUGGGUGUGCGUGUGUGUAUUGUUGUGGCUUUAACUUCACUCAACAGCGUAAAAUGAGCGACGCCUCACCUCACUUGCCACAGCGCUGCGUGUGUGUCGUGUAACGAGGGGGUGGCAAAUACGCGUUCGUUGCGCGCUUCCAUUUCCAGUCGCCGCGCGCACGUACUGGCUCUGCCUGAGUAGCGUUGGCGUUGGCGUUGGCGUCGGUGUCGACGUCUUCUUCAAGUUGCUUCGCACUUUCGCGCUUUGUUGUUCGUUGCGGGCUUGGCAAAGUCGUUCACGGACAGUAGCAGUCGGGCAUUGUGCCUGACUGGUGCGUCGCGUCUCAAUCAUUCGCCGCCCAUUCGCGCACUGCCAACACUUGCCAACUGCCAGCCAUAACGGUCGCGCGCACGCACACACACAUACAUACAGACACUUGUAAUAUUUCGCGUAAAAGGCAACUGAGUUAAUAUUUCUUCGCGACGCGGAGAGCGUUUGCAAAUUCGCUGUGAAACUUUACACGCACAGAGUUGAUUCGAAGUCGAGUCUUCACAUCUCCGCGACUGCUGUUGAUGGCUUCCUUGGAGUCUGUGAGCGUUGCGGCUGCUGCCAACGCCUGCACCGCCCGCCGUGCCACCGUCGAUUUGGCAAUCGCAUUUGAAAUCGCCCCCGUCACUGGCAUUGAUGGAGCCGUUGAAGAUGAAACGCGAAGACGCGCUCCCAAAUUGUUUAGCGCGAUUCAGUGGUGAUAAGGCGCUAGCCACCGCAGAAGAAAAGGAAUCUGUUCUGUUCGCAUUGCGUGCAAUAGAAAUUGAAAUUUCAUUCCUCAACGUGAGGCGCAUCCGAAAGGUUGUCGGCGGCUUUGCAAAUUGUAAUACGUUUGGGGACAGCCCCAAGAUGGUAUCAAAUAAAACCAUAAAAAAGACAAGUUGGAACAAUCUUUAACUUAACAGAGAGUGCUGAAGUGCUACUGUGACUUAUGUGACUAUAUUGUUGAGUGAGAACAGCAAAAAAAAAAAAAUAUUUAAAAAAUAAAAUAACUGAAGGAAGACCAAAAUUUUUUAAAGUGACGAGAAAAAGUGAUAACUGCUGAAAAAUUUAAAAGAACGGUGUCUCAGAAUAAAAAUUACAAAAUUUUGUUAUGGAUUUUAAUACAAUAACUAUGUGCUUUUUGCCGUUUAGCUACAUUUCAUUGAAGUGCCACACAAAAUUAUGGAAUAUCUUCCGCGGUUGGUUGGACCAGCCUUACUUAUUUUCCGGAAGUUCAGAAAUAAUGCAAAAAUAUCACAAAAAGCUAAGAGAGAGUUUUAGAAAGAAUCCUAUACAAACUUAAUAAGCUGACCGUGAUCUUAUUUCAAAAAAAGAAUGGCGGCAUGGUUCACGAACCAGUUGAAUGUGAUGAGAAUCCAUAUUUAUCAUAUAGUUUGGAAUAUUAUGGCACCCAUGGUGAGGUAAAUGGUUUCUAGGAUAGUUAAAAAGAUGCCAAAGAUAUUAAAUAUUUAGUUCUUCGGCUUUAAUUUUUUUUCUGAGAAUCUCAAUGCUCUGGCUUUUCUUCCUUGAAGCUUUAAAUUUGAAUUAUUGGUUAGGCUAUCAAAAAUAUAAGAUUUUACCGCUAUUUAAUGCUCCACUGCUUUAAAAAUUUACUCUGGAAUAAGCCUAUUCAGAGAAGCCCUUUUCUCAAAAUUAACAUUUAAGCGCUUUCUUAAUAAGGCCCAGAAUUUUUGAACUCGUUCUCGUUGAGAAACCUCUGAAAGCAUAUUCCUUUUAUCUUUCUACGAAGUUAUAAUAAUCAAAACUUAUUUUGAGGUUAGGUCAGUUAUU